UGUUAUCAAAUCAGGGUGGCUCUUC
rnacentral:piRNA from 1 species